rnacentral:rRNA from 1 species
CAGCAGCCACGGUAAUACGAAGGGGGCUAGCGUUGCUCGGAAUGACUGGGCGUAAAGGGCGCGUAGGCGGCGAUCAAAGUCAGGCGUGAAAUUCCUGGGCUCAACCUGGGGGCUGCGCUUGAUACUUGGUUGCUUGAGUGGGGAAGAGGGUCGUGGAAUUCCCAGUGUAGAGGUGAAAUUCGUAGAUAUUGGGAAGAACACCGGUGGCGAAGGCGGCGACCUGGUCCUUGACUGACGCUGAGGCGCGAAAGCGUGGGGAGCAAACAGGAUUAGAUACCCGUGUAGUCCCUGUCUCUUAUAC